UGCGUAGGCGGCAUAGCAAGUCAGAUGUGAAAUCCCCGGGCUUAACUCGGGUGGUGCAUUUGAAACUGCUGAGCUUGAGUGCAGGAGAGGAAAGCGGAAUUCCUAGUGUAGCGGUGAAAUGCGUAGAUAUUAGGAGGAACACCAGUGGCGAAGGCGGCUUUCUGGACUGUAACUGACGCUGAGGCACGAAAGCGUGGGGAGCAAACAGGAUUAGAUACCCUGGUAGUCCACGCUGUAAACGAUGGAUACUAGGUGUGGGGGACAUACAACCUCCGUGCCGGAGCUAACGCAAUAAGUAUCCCGCCUGGGGAGUACGGUCGCAAGGCUGAA
rnacentral:rRNA from 1 species